GAUGAACGCUGGCGGCGUGCUUAACACAUGCAAGUCGAACGAAGCACCUUGAUUCGAUUCUUCGGAUGAAGAUCUUGGUGCCUGAGUGGCGGACGGGUGAGUAACGCGUGGGUAACCUGCCUCAUACAGGGGGAUAACAGUUAGAAAUGACUGCUAAUACCGCAUAAGACCACAGCACCGCAUGGUGCAGGGGUAAAAACUCCGGUGGUAUGAGAUGGACCCGCGUCUGAUUAGGUAGUUGGUGGGGUAACGGCCUACCAAGCCGACGAUCAGUAGCCGACCUGAGAGGGUGACCGGCCACAUUGGGACUGAGACACGGCCCAAACUCCUACGGGAGGCAGCAGUGGGGAAUAUUGCACAAUGGGGGAAACCCUGAUGCAGCGACGCCGCGUGAGCGAUGAAGUAUUUCGGUAUGUAAAGCUCUAUCAGCAGGGAAGAAAAUGACGGUACCUGACGAAGAAGCACCGGCUAAAUACGUG
rnacentral:rRNA from 1 species